ensembl:lncRNA
GUUACUUCAGUCGUGUCUGACUCUUUACAACCCUACGGACCAUAGCCCGCCAGGCUCUUCUGUCCAUCGGAUUCUCCAGGCAAGAAUGCUGGAGUGAGUUACUAUGUCCUCCUCCAGGGAAUCUUCCUGAUCCAAGAAUGAAACCUGCGUCUUAUCUGUCUCCUGCAUUGGCAGGAUUGUGAACAUAAACAACCAUCAUAUGUUAGAGGAAAUAGAUCUUAGAAGUUGAGGAAUAAAGAUAACAUAAGGGGAGUCUCUCAAGAGGAUUGGAGACUUCAGUACUGGCCAACCACUUGUUAAUACUACAGUACGUGAUGGCAUCACUGACUCGAUGGACGUGAGUCUGAGUGAACUCCGGGAGUUGGUGAUGGACAGGGAGGCCUGGCGUGCUGUGAUUCAUGGGGUUGAAAGGAGUCGGACACGACUGAGCAACUGAACUGAACUGAACACUAUCUAAGGCUGAAUGAGGGGAUAUGGGACCUCGGAUUCAGAGGAAUAACAAGCAUAUUUGGAGGGUCAAGUGUAAAAUAUACACAGAUUUUGGACUUAACCUCCAAGUUGUUCAAGGGUCAAUUGUAUAUGUAUACAUAUAAUCACUCAAUUAUUUAUUGAUUCAAUCAGUGAGUAUCUAUUAAGUAUUUACUAAGUACCAUAUGCAGUUUUUAUGCUAAGUAUAAAAUAAAACAAUGUAUACAUGUUAAAGUUUAUCAUUAUAUAUGCGUAUCUAUAUGUUUAUAACUCCAUAGAAAAUUUAUUUUAAAGUGCCGUACAACAAAAAUAUAAUGUAAGUCACAUAUGUAAUUUAAAAUUUCCUAGUAGCUGUAGUAAAAUGGCUUUAUUAAAGGUGAAAUUAAUUUUACUUAUAUAUUUUAUUUUACAUAGUGUAUCCAAGAUAUUGUCAUUCUAACAUGUAAAUGUAAAACAAUUAUUCAUGAUAUAUUUCACACUUUUUUAGUCUUCAAAAUCCAUCACAGAUUUUAUACUUAGCACAUCUCAGAACAGGCCAGAGCUUAAGUUCACAACAAUCACACGUAGUUAGUGGCAUCUGUUGGAUAUUUCAGGUCUAGAAUAACAUAUAAAAACUGAUUGGGAGAUGGAAGAGGGAGAGGAAUUUACCUUUUAUUAUAUAUCCUUUCAUACUUUAGAUUCUUGUAUGCUGUGUACUUGUCGCCUAAUCAAAGAAAUUUGAAAAAAUAAAUUAAUAUAUUAAAAGCAUCAUGUUUUUAUCUGUG